CUUGAAAGCGUGUGACUUGGUAUUUGCGACGAUCGAGGAAUCUGAUAUACUCAAACGAUCAGGGUAUUACGUUAAGGCAUUGAUAACAUAAACUACAACAGAUGAAUUUAACUGGCUGAAUGUUGAGACAUAUUCAUUCCGUCACACAAUCAGUGGAGCUGCGUUUGAUCAUGUGAUCAUAUUAUACGAAAACAAAACAGAAAUGUUUUCAACUGAGAUACUGAAACUGACAGGAGGUGGUGAUUACAGAACGUAUUUAUACAUCAACAUUGACCUAAUCACUUGGGACAACUGGACUACUUUAAUAAAAGAUUACGCCAAGAAACAUUCUGGAAAUUAUCUUAAUUUUAUAGUUUUCUUAGAAGAAGAGAAUAUUUAUUCUACUAUAACGAAUAUAAACUGUAUUGAUGAGAAUUCUAAAAAAUCCACCAACAUCAGACAUUGGUCAACAUGGAUCAUAUUUCAUCACUUGACAGAGUAUCACCUACUGGAAAAUUUGACAAACAAUUUUGACAAUAUGGCGCUUGUCAAACUUCGUGAAAAGCAGAAUGGUGAGAAUUCCUGUACCAAUCUAAUUAUAUAUGAAGUACUAACACUUGUAAUGUCAUCACGUGGUUCCGUGUUUACUUCCGUUGAUACGUCACGUCACUAUGUCCUGUUUCCUAAUAUGGCAUAUGGUUAUAAUGGACGACAUCUUGACGUACUGACUAAAUCUUGGCCACCCUUAAUGGAUGAAAAAGAUGAAAAUGGGACACAGAUAUUCGUAGGCUAUUUAGUGGAUAUGAUGGAGAUCAUAUCACAGAAUCUUAAUUUCACCUAUAGUAUAUACAAUGAUAAAGAGAGCACUUGGUCUGGAUUGGUAAACGGAACCUGGGAAGGGAUGUUUCUUAAAAUGAAGAAUGG